AGAGUUUGAUCCUGGCUCAGGAUGAACGCUGGCGGUGUGCCUAACACAUGCAAGUUGAGCGAUUUACUUCGGUAAAGAGCGGCGGACGGGUGAGUAACGCGUGGGUAACCUGCCCUGUACACACGGAUAACAUACCGAAAGGUAUGCUAAUACGAGAUGAUAUGCUUUUAUCGCAUGGUAGAAGUAUCAAAGCUUUUGCGGUACAGGAUGGACCCGCGUCUGAUUAGCUAGUUGGUAAGGUAACGGCUUACCAAGGCGACGAUCAGUAGCCGACCUGAGAGGGUGAUCGGCCACAUUGGAACUGAGACACGGUCCAAACUCCUACGGGAGGCAGCAGUGGGGAAUAUUGCACAAUGGGCGAAAGCCUGAUGCAGCAACGCCGCGUGAGCGAUGAAGGCCUUCGGGUCGUAAAGCUCUGUCCUCAAGGAAGAUAAUGACGGUACUUGAGGAGGAAGCCCCGACGG
rnacentral:rRNA from 1 species